rnacentral:rRNA from 1 species
UACGUAGGUGGCAAGCGUUGUCCGGAUUUAUUGGGUUUAAAGGGUGCGUAGGCGGCCAAUUAAGUCAGUGCUGAAAUAUCCCGGCUUAACCGGGAGGGUGGCAUUGAUACUGGUUGGCUUGAGUGAAGUCGAAGUAGGCGGAAUUGACGGUGUAGCGGUGAAAUGCUUAGAUAUCGUCAAGAACACCGAUAGUGUAGACAGUUUACUAGGCUUUAACUGACGCUGAGGCACGAAAGUGUGGGGAUCAAAC